ACGAAUAUUGAUGGAUACGGCAAGAAUGAUGUGUAAACACAUAGAUAUGAAACUAUGGUAACAAAUUCACGUCUGAAGUAUGAACAGGACACAGAACAAACACGAUACUAAAUUACUAUUCGUCAAAGGAUUACACGUAACCAAUCAAAACUACAAACGAAACACAUAGAGAGAUGCCGUUCCGAGGAUUAUCUCCUGAGCAACGCACAAUACAGGCUGAUGAUCGCAUUGAAUUAUACCGCGUCAGAACGUUGAAAUACUCGGAAUGGUUCGAUUCGUCUCGCCUAUAAGCCAUACAUCCUGGAAAAAUUAGCCUCACUGAUAUCAACUUAUAUUCGAGGUUGAAAACUGAUUAGAUGGGAAAUUAAACUCUGAAUUAGCUGAGUGAUAUAUGAAAGAGAAAUCUUAUAAUUAUACUCAGGAGCCAUAAAAAAGAAUGGAUAUUUCUGUGAUAACAUAAGAAAUCAAAAUAUAAUAAACUUGGUCAUCUAUGAAGGUAAAGAAGAAAAUUUAACGUAAAUGAUAACAAAGGUAAUAUUACAAAUUUUAAUUUAGAUUUGAAUACAACAGAACAUUUGGUAAGACUAAAGUUUGGAUAAUGUAUAGAGGGAUUACCUUGAGUACGUUAUUUGUUUUUGAUGAUAGUAAUUAAUAUCAGAAUUACUUAUCAUCUAAACUGUAGAAAUAUAUAUAUAUAUAUAUAUAUAUAUAGUUGUAUUAUAUGUUUUGAUGUUUGAUGACUUGAUUUUCUUAACUUAACAUCCAGAUUUCAGAAGUGUUGUUUUAAGUAAUCAUUCAAAUAUGUGAUGUGGCAAAUGACUUUUAUUUGGAAAUUGUUCUACAUAAAGUGCUAUACUAUGACAUAUUAUAUACAUUCUUAUUGUAAAUUAAAGGUGUUUAAAUAUUUUCCUUGUUAUUAUAUCAUUGAUAAUUGUAACUAUCUUCCUUAAGGAUUACAACAAGAGUUAUUAUUGAAUUAUAUUAUCUACAACUAUAGUAGCAGAUGUAAAACAUGUCAAUGUUCAUGAUCAUUACAUGAUUGGUUUUACAAAUUUAAUUGUAAAUGUUGUACCUUAUAUAUGUUGUACCUCAUUAUUCGUAUCUAUAUUCAAGUAUUACCAAAAUUAUUGGUAUUCAAGUUUGUAUGAAGGUUAUGAUAUUAUAGAUAAUUGGAUUGAUUUUAAUCUCAUCUGUAAUGCAACAAUGGUAAAAAUAUGUCAUUUUAAAAAAACAUCCAUGAUCUUAAAAUUUUAAAAAACAUGAUCCUGAAAAAAUUUGUUAUUAUAAUAUUUAUUAUACUUACUAUGCAUACUAUAAUAUUUGUCUCCUUAAAUCUACAAUAUUUUUUGUUGUUAUGGAAACUAAAUAGAUAUUCAAGGUGAAUGAGUUAUAUUAUUCAUCCUGCGAGUCUCAUUUGUUUUUAUAUGAGGUAACAUGAAUUUUUUGAUAAUCAGAAAAAUGGUAUCAAACAUAAUAACUUUUAUCUGAGGUAAUAUUUUUUAUGCUGUAUAGCUAAAGAAUUAUAUUGAAAUUUUUAUUUUAUUUAAAACCAUUAUAUUAAAAUUUAUUUCAUUAAAUGUUUAAAGAGUUGUUCAUUUGUUUCCAAAUAUACAUUUAUUUGUAUAACAUCUUUACAAAUAUAUUAUAAUAUUGCAUUAGCUGUGAAUUUAUAUGUAGUAUACAUUUUUUUUGCAGGACUCAUUCUAUUAUGUAUUUCUAUUAAAAAAAAUCACAUCCUAAUGACUCGUUUGGCUCAUCAUUCUAGUUUGACAGAUCGUUGUGAUCACCCUCUUUGUGCAUGAACACAGUGUUUGGAAGUUUUCCAAUCCGAGGGAACCGACUCCAGACGCAGACAUAAACGAAAUAAUGAGGUCAGCAAAUGCGACCCCGGAUCUGCUCUCUUCAGGUCAUUGUAAGUAAGGUCGUUAGGUCCGGGCGUAGAAUUAGUCAUGCGCCUGAUCCGACGGCCUACUUCACUCGCCUUGAAGAUCUUCACCAAGGCCGCAUCGCUGGUCUCGUCUGGAGUCUCAAACGGAAGGGGGAGGCCUAGCCAGGUUGCCCGCCGAUGAGUACAUAUCCCGAAAGUACUCAUGGACCCGGUUCUUAGACACUUGACAAUGCAAAGACGAUCCCAUGAUCUCCUUUUGGAUUGCACGCUGACGGUUCUGUCUGAAAAGCAAUCGGAUACGUGUAGCCGCUGGCACCUUUACCCCUCCUUAUUCGGCUAUGCUUUAUAAACAGUUCGAAAAUAGUAAAAUAAGUCAAAUAGAGGGAGCUUUUAAAGUUAAAUCAGAAAUGAGUAGAGCAGCAGUAUCAGCUCAAGAGAAUUUAUUGCCGAGGUUUAGAGUCCUAUGUCAAAGUACUGUGUCAGAACAUCUUAGAGAAUUUGACACUAUCUACUCUGAAAAUACAAACACAAUAAAAACUGAAAAAAUGGAGGUAGGUUUGAAAUUAAUGGAAAAAGGUGAUGAAGUAUAUAUUUUAUAGAAAAGGCAGAUUACACAUUACACAUUAUACUAUCGACCAGAGGCUACGCGAAGAAACGCGUCUAUAACAACUGAACAACGAAAUAAAGAAGAAACGCGGCAACGAACGCGUUCCAGACGAAUUAUUUUUAUCGGUGGAGAUUUUCCGAGUUACUAUUUUACUUCAACGUUUUCCCUAAAACUCAACUGUCGCGAUGUAAGGUGUUAUUGAAUACUCGCGACAAAUAUGUUUGUAAGUUAUUUAUUUAUGUAGACGAGUGUUCGGAGGCAGAACGGGUAAUCUGCUUCCUCGCGCCUUUCCGCUUUAUUUAUUUGCGUCUUCGGAAAGACGUUAUCCCUUGGAAACUUUGAGGGUGGAGCUAAUUCCCUUCUCCAACGUCACCUCGAUUUUUGGCAGGGGAAAAAAUUGUGGAUUUCUAAUUCGGAAUCUUUUUCCCGAGCCGCGCUGAUCGUGCGGCCGAAGAAGCCUUAACGGGACAUGGCUGGCA